rnacentral:rRNA from 1 species
UACGAAGGGGGCUAGCGUUGCUCGGAAUCACUGGGCGUAAAGGGUGCGUAGGCGGGUCUUUUAAGUCAGGGGUGAAAUCCUGGAGCUCAACUCCAGAACUGCCUUUGAUACUGGGGAUCUCGAGUCCGGGAGAGGUGAGUGGAACUGCGAGUGUAGAGGUGAAAUUCGUAGAUAUUCGCAAGAACACCAGUGGCGAAGGCGGCUCACUGGCCCGGAACUGACGCUGAGGUGCGAAAGCGUGGGGAGCAAACAGG